rnacentral:lncRNA from 1 species
CCGAUAUUAAGGAAAAUCGCUUUCAGUAGUUUUAAAUAUCGGAAAAUUAAGGUUAAAAUCCUUACAAUUAAUCUUUAUUAUAAUAAAGUAAUAUGGGAGUGGAUAAGUUAACUUCCAAUCAACACCCACCAUCCUUUAAACAGAAAGAGGCUAACUUGGAAAUACUUUUCAGUUGACUUCGUACUAUGCAUACACAUUGCUUCUCCUAACAGCAGUUUUCACUGAACUAUUCUACUUUUAUAAAGUGCACCGCUCCUGUCACCUCUAUCGUUGAAGAGUGAGAACGCAAUGGGAGGGUGUGGGGAGGGGUGGAAUUUCAUCGCUGGUAAUACACAGCCAUGGAAGAGUUCAUCUCGUACGUGGGCUGGAAAUGAAUUAACCUGUGAAAGUGGAAUUUUCACACCGCCUAUCUGUGCCACGUUCUACAUUCCAUCUGUAUUGAUCAGGCGGUCUAUAAUGCUGACGGUAGAGAGGCUUGUCACUUGUUCACUCGCUUGCACUUCUCAAAUUUUGUACUCCGCAACCACGUGCGUUCAUCGAUAUCUUAUUCUUAUAUUUUUGUAAAUGUAUCCUGUACAAUUUUCAUACCCGUUUAUACCAUUCUGCCACCGACGUAUAUCCCUAUUACUUUCGCAUUCAUAUUUUUUUCGGUUAUUUAUUCGUACGAGUGGUUUUUGUAUCUGUUUUUUCUUUAUUAUUUUUUUUAC